CAAAGGUGGAAACACAAAGUCGCACAUGGCCCUCUCGAAACCACAGCCCUGUGAGCGGAUUGUUCAUGAGACUGGCUGGAAGAAGGCCUUUCGAACCCCAUCUGAAGCAUCGCCCACAUCCUGCAGCAUCUGCCUCCCUCCGGUAACCACUUAGCUGCAGGUCGAGGAAGCUGGAAAUCCCCGAUAUCCUUUAAAGAGCUCUCUGGGUAGUUUAGUGGGAAGCACGAAGCCAUACCAGUAGGCCUCAGGCUGAUAACCGUUUAUUAAUGGAGACUUUAUGGAGGAAAGGGGGGGGGAUCCUGACAGUUAUUUGAUAAAAGAGAGAGCGGUACAAAAAUGUGUCCUGAUUCACGGAAGUGAAUAAACCCUGGGUCUGUUCACAGGGGAAAGUAAACGUAUAGAAGACACAGCAGGGCGUAAGUGCCGCUGAUGGAGACUGACACAAAAGUGCUAAACAGAACACUCUAGGAAUGUGCAAGGGAGGAAUGUUGAGAGAAACAUUUUUAGAGUCUCUGUCUUGGUCAUUCUUUAUACUCUUGGAUGCCUUGUAAACAAGUUUUAUUACUUCUAUUCAAUGUUAGCUGAAGUUAAUAUGAACAGAUAUGCAUAAAGUACUUAAAGUAAUCCCAGGCACGGCAUAUACAUUAAUGCCUACCUCCCAUUAUUAAUGCCUUGUAAGCAACGAAACCAAAGCCCCAAGACCCUAAAAUCACGCAGUUGUAAAUACCCUGCUUGGUAUCAGAACCUGAACAUACGGCUUGAUAUCUAUCUGUAUUAUGGAGUGGGUUUUUUGCUCUAGAACCACGUCAUGUGUCUGCCGUGGACCAACCAGGUAAGGCCCCCAUCUACUUGUGUGAACUAUAAAAAUGAGUGGAAUGGGAAAAUGAUACUCUAUGGUAAGAAAAUAGGACAAUAUAAGCUAAAUCAAAUGUCUUCUAAAUAUGAUUCAAUCAUGUCAAUAUUUUGAAAUCAGUAGAGCAAGGGGGGCAGAAUAUGGUAAUGCAUGUUUAUAACCCACCUACUGGGGAGACAGAGAUAGGAGUGUUGCAAGUUGAGGCCAGUGGGUGACUUAGUGAGAUGUUGUCUCACUUUGAUUCAAAGGAAUUCUAUAGCGUAGCUCAGUGUUAUUCUGUUGCCUAUCAUGAGGAAGACCCUACAUUCAACCCCGGCACCAACAGAAAGGGCUUGAGGGGACUAGGAAUUUGAUGCAAAUGAAUCUGAGCUCCCUAUUUAGGUUACUAAAUCACUGAAUUUGAGACCUGAGAGGACGCAUUGGGAAGGAUUUACUUCCGCUGCCCUUGAUCACAGAGGAUAAAACCAACAUAUGAUGCUAACAUGACUCCUCCAAGGUCUUUCAGAUUCAAGAUGCAGAAAUUCUAACAAAUACCCGAGUUAAUUAGCCUGCUUGCACAUCUCUCCCUUAAAGUCAAGAGUUCAAAACUGACAACCCCCCCCCCCAUAGGGUUGUUUUUAAUUAACCUAAAUUUCCAAAUCACAUCACAGGUGACAAUCGGCACGGACAACAACAAGCCGGCCUAAUUGGCCUUCCUACGAAAGGAAAAGGAAACAGAUGUUGCUUUCAGGGCUCUGGUCUGCUUGGACUCUAGGAGACAGGAGUAAGUACCUGAGUGCCUGGGCUCUGCCCGUCUGGUGACUGUGGAAGCUCCAGAAUACAGGCUUACGGUGGUGUCAUCGUCAUCGAGCAUGUCCCUGGUGCUGCUGUAUUUGGCCUGCAUCCUGAUUCCUGCAGAGCUGCGGGUGAGAUGUGCUCUGAUUGCUCCAGGCCGCGUGUCGAACGUCAGAUACCUCAGGAAACCAGGCACUGGGAGGCAUUCCUAAUGGUCUCUCCUUGCAGGCUGCAGGGGAAGCCUCUGACUCCAGUUCCUGCAUGGAGAGGCCCGGCCCCUCCCCUGCGAGCUUGUCCUCAGAAUGCCAAGUUAGUCUGGCUGAGGGGAAAUCGCAUGUGUUUUCUGGCUGGGCGGUCCCUGAACAGUUAUUAAAAUAUCUGCAUUUUUUUU